rnacentral:tRNA from 1 species
UCCCUGGUGGUCCAGUGGCUAAGACUCUGCACUUCCACUGCAGGGGGCCUGGGUUUGAUCCCUGGUCAGGGAA